rnacentral:rRNA from 1 species
UACAGAGGGUGCAAGCGUUGUUCGGAAUUAUUGGGCGUAAAGGGCGCGUAGGCGGUGCCACAAGUCACCUGUGAAAUCUCCGGGCUUAACCCGGAAAGGUCAGCCGAUACUGCGGGGCUAGAGUGCAGAAGGGGCAACUGGAAUUCUCGGUGUAGCGGUGAAAUGCGUAGAUAUCGAGAGGAACACCUGCGGCGAAGGCGGGUUGCUGGGCUGACACUGACGCUGAGGCGCGAAAGCUAGGGGAGCGAACGGG